GAUGAAGAACGUAGCGAAGUGCGAUAAGUAGUGUGAAUUGCAGAAUUCCGUGGAUCAUCGAAUUUUUGAACGCAAAUUGCACUCUCUGGUAUUCCGGAGAGUAUGCCUGUUUGAGGGUCAUUAAAAUCAAAAUCGAUUUGUUUACUUUGGUAACUUGGUAACAUUUUCGGAAUUGGGUCAUCUUAAACCUUCAGGUUCAAGAGGCUUAAAAUUGAUCAUUUUUGGUAUGAAUUUAAGCGUAUUUAAGAUCUCUUAUCACGCGCUUGACUCCUAUCGGAUGUUUAUUAGGCGUGACCAUGAUCAUGGUUUCGCGCCCAUAAUCUUUCCAUGAAAUGACCUCAAAUCAGGUAGGAAUACCCGCUGAACUUAAGCAUAUCAAUAAGCGGAGGA
rnacentral:misc_RNA from 1 species